UACGUGAGGGGCGAACGUUGUUCGGUGUCACUGGGCUUAAAGGGCGCGUAGGUGGCUGCGUAAGUAAGGUGUGAAAGCCCUCGCUUACCCGGGGAAUUGCGCCUUAUACUGCGUGGCUUGAGGAUUUCAGGGGAAAGGGGAACUCCGAGUGUAGCGGUGAAAUGCGCAGAUAUUCGGGGGAAGGCCGGGCGGCGAAGGCGCCUUUCUGGGGAAAUUCCUGACACUGAGGCGCGAAAGCGUGGGGAGCAAACAGGAUUGAGAA
rnacentral:rRNA from 1 species